rnacentral:rRNA from 1 species
CCUACGGGUGGCAGCAGUGAGGAAUAUUGGUCAAUGGACGAGAGUCUGAACCAGCCAAGUAGCGUGAAGGAUGACUGCCCUAUGUAUUGUAAACUUCUUUUAUAUGGGAAUAAAACGUUCCACGUGUGGGAUUUUGUAUGUACCAUAUGAAUAAGGAUCGGCUAACUCCGUGCCAGCAGCCGCGGUAAUACGGAGGAUCCGAGCGUUAUCCGGAUUUAUUGGGUUUAAAGGGAGCGUAGGUGGAUUGUUAAGUCAGUUGUGAAAGUUUGCGGCUCAACCGUAAAAUUGCAGUUGAAACUGGCAGUCUUGAGUACAGUAGAGGUGGGCGGAAUUCGUGGUGUAGCGGUGAAAUGCUUAGAUAUCACGAAGAACACCGAUGGCGAAGGCAGUUCACUGGACUGUAACUGACACUGAGGCUCGAAAGUGUGGGUAUCAAACAGGAUUAGAUACCCGUGUAGUC